rnacentral:rRNA from 1 species
CACGUAGUUGGCCGGGGCUUCUUACUCAGGUACCGUCAUUUUCUUCCCUGCUGAUAGAAGUUUACAUACCGAAAUACUUCUUCCUUCACGCAGCGUCGCUGCAUCAGGGUUUCCCCCAUUGUGCAAUAUUCCCCACUGCUGCCUCCCGUAGGAGUUUGGGCCGUGUCUCAGUCCCAAUGUGGCCGGUCACCCUCUCAGGUCGGCUACUGAUCGUCGCCUUGGUAGGCCGUUACCCCACCAACCAGCUAAUCAGACGCGGGUCCAUCUCGUACCACCUCAGUUUUUCACACAAUACCAUGCAGUAUCGUGCGCCUUAUUGCGGUAGUUAGUCAGUCGUUUCCUAACUAGUUGUUCCCCUCCGUACGUAGGCGAGGUUACCGUACCGCGUACUCACCCGUCCCGUCCACCUCACGUCACCACUUCCCUCCCUCCGACGAUUCGUUCCACUGCUCGCUUCGUUCGUACUUCGUCACUGUGUUAAGUCACGCCGCCACGCGUUCUACUCCUCGAGCCACGGAGUCAAACUACU